rnacentral:rRNA from 1 species
CACGUAGGGGGCGAGCGUUGUUCGGAAUUACUGGGCGUAAAGGGCUCGUAGGUGGCCAACUAAGUCAGACGUGAAAUCCCUCGGCUUAACCGGGGAACUGCGUCUGAUACUGGAUGGCUUGAGUUCGGGAGAGGGAUGCGGAAUUCCAGGUGUAGCGGUGAAAUGCGUAGAUAUCUGGAGGAACACCGGUGGCGAAGGCGGCAUCCUGGACCGACACUGACACUGAGGAGCGAAAGCCAGGGGAGCAAACGGG